UGUCUGAACAGUUCAAGUAGGUGAACUGGUCUCAUUAUCUCAUUUCCAAUUCCCACAAUCAGAUUUCUGUUGGGUUCAAGGCACUGUUUUAUUGUUGUCCUCUGAGUUCAGCUCCCUUCCAGGGUCCCAUAGCCUUGGUGUAAUCCCCACAGCUGACUUCUUCUUCUGCCCACACCAAUCCAGAGUCUUGCCAUGUCUCCUUCUUUGCUGCACACUGACCUUCUUCCCCAAAGACGUUGGGCAGGAGAUUCCUGGUGGAGAUUCCUCAGGGAGUUUUUGGGUCCAUCUGUGUAGUACAAAAGGACUUUCCCAGAGCAGGGUAUUGCUGUGCACCUUUACUGUUAAAAUCUUUUGAGAGGGAACUAAUUUCCAUAGCAGGUUACAGCUAAUGGAAUGGAGGAAGGGCUCCCAUUUCUGUUCUCCAUCUCUCCUGCUGGCAGAACUGGCAGGAUGGAAACCCAUGGCUUGCUGGAGACAACUUGCUUCAUCCAUUUUGUGGUCCUAUUAAUAGUGUUUGCUGGUGUAUACAUCUUAUUUGUUCUCAGUUUUGCAUUUAUUUGAAAGAAAACCCAACCCUCUCUGUUGAAUUAGACCUGUAGGAUGCAACCCUAAGCCACAACACCCUGAUCAAAAGGGACAGGGCAGGAGGGAUGGUGGCAUCAAAAAGCAGCAGCUGGUUUAAUGCUCUCCUGCCAUCAACAAAACAAACUAGAUUUGGUGCUGAGCUUCACUUUUAACAGCCUGAUCCCCACCAGUACUGUGAAGAGAAGUGUGUGAUUAUUCUUUCCAUGCCUGUUCUCCUACAGGCACCCCUCCCACCCUGUUUGUGAGUGUUGGACUCAGAGGUUAAAUGGCAAAUCAUGUCUAAAAUUCUGCAAACUUUAUUUUAAUGCACAUUAAUUUCUUUGCAUUCAUGUGUUGUAAAUACAGAACUGCAGAAGGAUUUUAGAGAGACUGGGCAAUACAGGGGCAGGUGAAGUUUGGAGUGCGUGAUUGUGAAGUGCUGUGUGGAAGGAAAACCAGUCCUGACUUGACUAUAAAACUUGGGUUAGAACAGGUACUACCAUAGUCCAGCAGGAAAAGCAAAUGGUUGUCGGCAGGUAGGAAGGAAAGCAGGUGUAAAACAGAGAAUAGAACAGAGAACGGCUUUGCCAUUGUAUGGUCCAGUGGUCCAGUCCACGGCCAAGGUGUGGUCCAAUGCACUGUAUAAAUCCUGAAUGCUGUGUGUUGGUCUGACCCCUCAUCUCACACAGGGGACUCAAAAAAGAAGUAGUAGAACAAGAAAAGGUUCAGAGCAGGACAAAAUGUAGGAUCAGAGGCCUGGGAUGGAUUUUGUGUGGCAGGCUAGGACUCUUUACCCUGAAAACAUGAUUUGAGUGGGUAUCCACUACAGGUCUCCAGAACUGUGAGUGGCUGGAAAGGAGCAAAGAGGGAUUGAUUAUUUCCUGCCUUUUCCAAUAGAGAAAGUAAGGGGCAGCAGAUGAUAGUGGGUGAGGCUGAACACAAAAGAAAUUCACCCAGGGAUGUCCCUGACAAAGGACACUGUGGACGCAGAGCCUGGACAAAUGCUUGGAAGAGAAGUUCAUUGUGGGUUACUCAAUAGACAGCAACAGGCUCAGGAAAUCUAUUUAGUUAAAAAUAGACUGAAUAUUAAGGGAGAGUGACACAUGUGAUUUUCUUGUCAUUAUUCCUUAGCCAUCUGCUCAUAUCCAGUGUUGGAGACAGGAUGGCUGUCUGGAUGAACCUUUGCUCUGAACCAAACCAGUCAUUUUUACAUUCUUAAAUGUGAGAUUUAAUUACAAUGUGUCAUUUUUAGGAAGCCAUUUGUUACAAAACUCCACAUCCAUUUCCUCUGAAACACUAUUAAUUUUCCAAUUAUCUCAUUUUUUAAUGCUGGGAACUUCAAUCUUCCUUAGCUGUUCACCCUGCACAAGGACAUUUAUCCAGCAACAGAUCCUGUGGUUUCUCACAGGAGAAUAUUUAUCCCUCUUGGAAAAGGGAUAAUGGCCAGGAAAGAUGCUUGACCCUGAACAACUACUUCAGUUUGUGUUCCAGCUUUGGGAAAGCAAGGAGUGACCCAGCUUUGGCGACCAGGGGAAUUUACACAGAGGCAGCUUCCUUCCCCUGGCAUCUCCUUGGGGAUGUCACCUUGGGCUCUGCACAGUGGGGUGUGACCCAUGUUUGUAAUUGUAUCAAAAUUAUCCUGGCUAUGGCAGUGAUAGGUGUCAGAUUAAAAUGAAAGGACCUGAGGAAAUGCAUCUGUUUUGUAAUGGCUGUUCCACCACUGCUCUGACUCAUUUCUUUCUGCAUCCAGAUGACUUGAGACAUGUAUUUUAAUAACAGGAAUGUCAUUUGCAGCUCAUUGCUCAGGGCAGGAAUGUACAAUCCCAGCCCCCAGGAGUAUUUUGUGUCAAUUUUUUUUAAGUGAACAAUAGGAAAUAUCCCAGUUUAAUUUUGCAUUCAGUGUUGAUGUUAAGGCAUAAUGUUUUGAAGCCCCAUAGCUGGGUGUCAGUGCAGCCCAGCACCUCUCCCUAAGACAUCAAUCAGUGAGUUUACCUUGUGCUUGUGCUGGAUGAUUGCACUUGGACUUUGUUGAAGAAUGGCAGCAGUUCUUCUGUGACCCUGCCUGUAAGCCAGGAGUCCCCAGAGCUCAACGUCUCCUCCCUGGUGUGCCUGAAGAGGGGUCAUAUAUUGUUAGGACAAGGGGAAAUGGCCUCAGGUUGAGCCAAGGGAGGUUCACUUUGAUAUUAGGAAAAAUUUCUUCAUUGAAGGAGUGGCUAAGAAUUGGAACAGACUGCCCAGGGCAGUGGUGGAGUCACCAUCAGUGGUAGUGCUCUAAAAACAAGCAGACAUUGCACUUUGGCAUUGAGGUAUUUGGUCUAAGGUUGGACUUGAUGAUCUUGGAGGUCAAAUGAUUCUGUGAUUCUAUGCUAUGAUGGGACUCAGCUGUGGUGCUGCCAUGGGCUGUGCUGCCAGAUGGAAGAGCAGCGCUCACCCAGCUCCUCCGAGGAUGCUGUGCCUGUUCCCAGAGGCAGCUGCCCAACAUCACAGUUCUGUGCUGCAUUUCAUGCUGCCUGCACAGCCCACAGCCCUGGCUCUCCGUGCUGGGAGGGUGCAGCAGGAUGUGUGGUGGGUGAGAUCACAUGUGUAUCUCUGGGGACAGAUAUGUCUCUUAAGCCACAGCCCUCAUCCCUGCUCAGCCUUGCGGGGAGGGAGGGUGGCUGCACACCAGAUUUUGGUGCCCGACCUCCUGGCUGGAUGCUUUAACCACCAGCAGAGAAGAGGAGUAGAAAACCCAGCGUGGCUUGCAGCUGGGGCAGGGCUUGGAUGUUCCUUGCUGCAGGAAGGAUGGUGACAGUGGAAGACAGGAGAAGGCUGAUCCAUCCUUGAAGGAACCAAGGAAUAAAUUCAGGACCCUCAUGUGCCAGCACAUCGUGGCUGGAGUGACACUGUGAUGGACAGUGCUGUCACCUGUACCUCUCUCUCCAUGGAUCCAGGGAUCAUGCUUCUAGCAGAGAUGCACAGAAACAUUUUCCCACUAAUUUUCAAGCUGGAAAAGACACGCCACAACUUAUCAUGGCAUCCAUGAUCCUUGGCUGGCAUCAUCAUUGUGCUCUCAGCAUAAAAGUUGCAGAUAUCAGGGGACUGGGAUAAUUUUCUCAGCAUCUUUUUAUUAGUGUUUCUGUUUCUUGCUUUUUUAUGCUCUGGGAAAAAAAGCCUAUGAAAUGGGAGGUGAUUUUUUUCCAUCAGCUCUCAUAGUUGUGAAACCUGCUGAUAAAAUCUCUGCCAGGUUUACUGUCUAAAACACUCUAUUGAUGAUUAUAGAAAUUUCUAUUAUUUUUUCAUAAUUUCUACUGGCAAACUGCCCAAACCUGUGUUUCAACAGGCUAGACAACAUCUUUGGCUGCUGCCGUCCUCUCCUGUUUUCACUGCACACAGGUGAUAUGGAGUCUGGGUGGUUUUUGGUUUGGGUUUUUUUUCCAAAUUACAAAGGAAAAGUGUAGGAAUUGGGGAAUUCAGACAUUGAGCAAAUUCUUUGCUGUGGGUGGGCAGAGAGCUGAGGGAUAAAUCCCUAUCCUUUGUGCUUGUGAUAUUGGAGUUGGGCUAAGUGGCUGAAGUCUACCAAGACCAGAUGGUGCUGUCUCGGGGAGGGGUUCAGUGAAGGUCAGACUCUGUGAGGAUGUCCUGAGUGUGGAGAAGGAGGAAGAGCAGUGGACUAGGGAGGGUUAUCUCUGAGGCCACUCACCUUCCUGUGGGAGAGGAGGAUUGGUCUGUGCAGCCUGUAUUUGCUGCCCAGCCCCAGCCCUGGCUGCUUGGCCAUGGGAGAUCAUCUCCUGUGCUGGCUGGGAGGUGGGAGAGCUGAACAAGGUAUGGACAUUAAGGUCAGGACACCUCAAGUGUGGGAAAGGGAGUUGGGAUUUCAAAAGUAGUUGCAGGCAGAGGGAAAAUCCCUGUUUUUUAAAGAAUAAACCCUUGCCUGUGGGAAGCUUCAAAGGGGUUUUCUUACAGCUGUCCUGAAAAAUGUACAUAUCAUAAAAACCAUCUGCUGCUGGGGCAAAGCUCUGCUCAUUACUUGCAGGGUAGGAAAAUGAUGGAUUUAGUUCAUUGGAGCUCUCACAGAGGAUAAAUUGUGGUGUAUGGGAAUCAGAGAUGCUCAGAAUCCCCUCCCUGCAGCACCUGUGGUGGAAUAGGGGGUUGUGCUGGUGCCUCCACAGUCAUAAGCUGGGUGGCCUGAGAGCUUGGGUGAGUGUCACAGCCUGGGAAAGCUGGCUCAGCACGAUCCACGGCCGGCUCUAUCACUGCAUCAUUUAGGGGAAGCACCCACAGCUGGGCUUGAGACCAAGCACUCUGAAAAAAUCAGUAUUAGAGUGGAAAGUGGCAGCUCCCUGCGGCUGGGAGGGGAGGGAGGGGAAGGCCAGAGUGAUGCUGCUCUGCCACUGUGAUGCUUUGCACCCACAAACUCGUCCCAAGACUGUGUUAGCCCCAACACUGAGGACUCUAGACCACCUUCCCCUUGUCCUCCCUGUAGCUGGCACAGUGCUAGUGCCUGUGGUUGAGCAGAUGUGGGGCUGGGGGUGAAUCUGUGGGUGAGUGCUCGCUGCUUGUGCUCAGCAGGAUGCCGAAUUUCCAGCCCCAGCUCUGCCAUGGAGCCCUGGGCAGAAGCUGAGCCUUGGUACCAUCCCUGGGGAGACCUUCCCUGCUCCUGGCAUCACUGAGGGCUCUGCACACAAGGGUGUCACUGAUGGCUCAGCACAUGGGGAUAUCACUUGGGGCUCAGCACACAGGGGUGUCACUUGGGGCUCAGCACACCCAGGCAUCGCUCAGGGCAGUUCCUGCUGGCCAUGCCGUGCUGCUGGGCUCAGGGCCAGCCCCUGGGGGCCUCUGUUUGCUCUCAGAGGUGGUGUUGACUUUCAGGCUGUGCCAGGUGUUUGGCCUUGUGUGCAUGGCUUUGUCUGGCUUUCCUCUCCCACUCCUGGCUGUUUGCAGUCUCCCAUGGGAGAAGACAUCCUCCCAGAUCUGCUCCUCCCUGCAGCUUUUGCUCUGCUUUAACUCUUUCUUGGUUAGAGGCCAUGGUUCCUUGUUCACCAUGCAACUGUGUUCCUUACUGAGCAGGACCAAAAGACACCAGCCUGCAGAACAAAUAACUGAGUGAUAUAUUCACUUUUGGUAUUGAACAAACCUGCACAGGGUCUUUACAAGCUGCCUCUGCCCCAUCCUUGCUGGUUGCUCUCAAAGUGUUCGUUACCAAAGUUUUAUCAACCAGUAUUAAUAGGAGCAAAAAAAAAAAGCACACCUUUGUGCUGUCUUACAGAUGAACACAGAGCCAAGGAGCUCACAGCUCUCCAGCCCAUCUGAAUCCCUUUGGUACAGCAGCCCUCUUCCUCCUGUGCAAUCCCAGCCAUGGCAUUCUCCCUCCUCAGUGUCCUUUGAGAAGUGCUCAGGAUGCUGCAGAAUCCAGCCUGGUCCUUCUGCCAGCUGUUGCGUCAAGGAAAAAUAUUAAAGUCGUGGUUUGUCCCAGGAAAGAAAUGUCUGUUUUGUGGUACAAGCCCACGUCUGUUCCCUGCAAUGUCGUUCCUGUGUCCUGUCCAGACAGUUCUCAGCAUUGUGCAGGGGAGGGUCUGUGGUUUCUCCCUGCCUGUCCGAGGCAGGGGGGCCGGUGGGAUUUACUGGGAUUUACUGCCUGUGGAUGCGAAGCCACAGCCUCCGCCGCAGACCUGGGAAGAGACAGUGUCCAUCAGACCCAGGACCCUCCCAGGUCACCAUCCUGCUCCUGGGCUGUCCCAGGGCCUGGCACCCCUCAGGAUGCUGGCAGGAUACUCACGGUAGAGGCGGUGGGCAGUGGGGACCAGGCCCAGCAGGAGGAGCAGGACACCAGCGACCAGUGGGAUCCAGACCAGGGGACUGCAGGGACCUGGAGAGAGAAGAGGACUCCUGGCACCACCCUGCCCUGGCAGCUUUGCGGGAUGGAGUAUGGGGUGGGGAAGGGAGAAAAGCAAGGCAGGGACUCAAAGGGGCAGUGGAGGAUGUGACCAUCCCCCUGGGGUAUCCUUUGAAGGAUGCAUUACAGAAUCACAGGAUAAGUAAGGCUGGAAAGGACCACGGUGGGUUAUCUGGUCCAACCUCCCUGCUCAAGCAGGGUCACCCCAGAGCACAUGGCACGGGACUGUGUCCAGAUGGCCUUUGAAUAUUUUCAGUAAGGGAGACUCCACAGCCUCUCUGGUCAACCUGUUUCAGUGCUCAAUCACCCUCACAGUAUAAAAAGCAUUGCAGGGAGCUUAGCUCUUGAGGUCACAAUAACCUAAACUGAAAUACAUCCUGGCCCCUAAACCCGUGUACAUCCCAGGGAAUCCCUCCUACAGGCAGAAGUCAGUUCUGUCCAGAGCAGUGGGUCUAUCUGCCCCCAGACACCCACUCCUGCAGGGUGACAGUGUGGUUGUCCCCACCCCAGGACAAACUCCAACUGAGCCCUGGAGGCCCCAAGAGCCCAGCAAAACCCCUUUUUCCAGGCUGAGCCAGUGCCAUACCUUUCCUGCUGGCAGCUUUGCUUUUGGUUAUCCACGGCACAGGCUUUUUGGAGACUGGUGUCUGUGUGGUCUUUGGAGGCAGAGGCAAAGCAUCAACUGGGGAUAAGGAGAAAAAGAGGGUCGUCAGUGUGGCUCUGAGUGCAGCAGAGAUCUCCAACAGCAGGCAAGAAGGGCUGGAAAGUUUGGCCCUUAGAGCAAACCUCAUCCACUGAACCCUGCAAAGGGCUGUGUCACCCCGAGGGGUGGGAGCUUGACCUGAGCCUCUCGGUGGCCACAGAAGUUACCAAGAGCUUUCAAAAGUGUUAAUAAACCAAUUUACCAGGUAAAGAAGGGGAGAAGGCUAAGGCAGGGAAAAACCCCAAACUUGCUGGAGUGACAUUUGCUGCCAAGCAUCAUCUCAUCAGCAUUGCACAAAAUCAUGGCUAGCAAGAGAUUUCAGUAGCACUGGGAGGUUUUAAGGGAUCCCUGCAUCUUUUCCUUAUUCAGAUUGCUCUAAUCUUUGCUCAGCAUUUGAUUAUUGUUCUUUCUGAUAAAAUGAAGGCAGGAUUUAUUAUGGUGUUCUGAGUAACAGUGGAGGACAUUAAUUUCUCAGUAAAGUUGGCCAGGAAAAUAUCCCAGUAAUGUCAUUAAAUAUCUGCGUGUCUGACUGCUCAAACCACACUCAUUCAAAAUUUUAGGUGAUUCAAAACGACUUUUUAUUCUCUUUCUACCCAGAAUAUAACUUCCUAGAGAAAUUACCAUUCUUUUACAUGAAAAGAUGAGAUAUCAGGACCCUGGGAUUUAUCUGGACAACCUCUCCCUUACAUUAUAAUAGGCUUAAAGAAAAGAAACUUACAGGCAUUUUGUUUUAUCAUGAGAAUUAAAAGGAAAAAAAUAUCCAGCAAAGCCUGAGUCCUCCCAGAGCACCUGCUGCUGUUUACUUUUUAAUUGGUGUCCUUGAUCAAGCUGAAUUUCAAGCCUGUUUUUCACACUUUGCACAGAGAUAUGAGCCCAGUUGUUAAAAAACAGUUCUCCUUUAUCUUAAGCCAGCUUUUUUCUGAGCCUGAAAGAAUCCAAAAGGGAUUUCUCAUCCAGUUCAAGGUACAGAGUGUAUUUGCAAAAAAACCCAGGAAAACUGGGACACUGGGUCUGCUUUAGAGUCAGAAGCUGUAGCAGCAUUUUGGUUAAAUAAGUUAUUUGUAUUUUAGCUAAAUAAGUUAUUUGUCUCCCUAAAAGUCUGCAAAAAUAAAGGCUGAAUCCUA